rnacentral:lncRNA from 1 species
ACCUACUGUAAGACAAAACAAAAUUACUGAAAAACUUUUUCCAGUCUAAAAGCAAAUGACAAAACAAUAUGUAGCAGGCUCUUGCAAUAUAAACUUCAAGCUCAAAUUGAGACAAUGUAACUAUUAAAACAAGGCUAAAUCAUCAUAAUUUUAACAUUUUCACAAUGCACUAAACUCAAUGCUUAUGAUUAACCAAAACUUAAAUCAGAAGGAAAAAAAUGGGAGAAAACAUGGUACAGUUCCACGUCAUGAAUUAUUUGGGUAUUCUGCUCCAUCCAUCUCACUGCUUUCAGUGAUGAGACUUGGCCUCAGCUUUCUGUUGAGACUUGGCUUUUGACUGAAAGUAGAAAAAUGUGAUAACAGGAAUCAGGCAUCAAAAGAAGACAGCAGUUCUACAAAGUGCACAAUAAUCAUAAAAAAUGUUGAAGCAAGCAUCCUAAAUUUCUUGCAUAAUCUAGAAAUAACUAAUAUGGGAGGUGUUCAGCCCUAGAGUAGAGACAAGGGAGCACUAAACCAGCUAGUGAAAAACAUAACACAUGGAGAUGUAUAACAUGCCAUUAUAUUAGUAUACUACAUCUGUCCCAAUAUGUAAGACGCCGCUGAUAAAAUCACGAGCAUUAAGAACAUAGGUAGUAGUAUACAAUUCUGUUAACAAUUGGUAUUGUUUUACAAAUUUACCCCUUUAGGUUUAUGUUUUUAUCAUAUGAUUUAUUACAAGUUCAGGAAAAAAUGUAACACAAUUCCAUGUAUUUUGCAAAAGAAAUAGCUACUGCAUUAGUGCGUUUGAAAAUUUUAAAUAAGUCUUAUAGAAAGAGAUAAAGAAAAGUCUGGAAAAUGUCCUAUAUAUAGGGAUGGAAUAGUGAUAAAAGUACAUCAGAACCUUUCAGACUUUACUACUUUAGGGAUGGAGGUAGUGAUAAAAGUUCAUCGUAACAUUUCAGACUUGACUGCAAUUUCAGACUUAGACUGCAAGACUACAACAGAGCACAUAAUGUUUACCAACAUCAGGGGACAACUUAACAUUUGGCAAGGUUUGUCAAACUAGGUUAUGUAUACUCAAGAACAGCAAGCAUAUCUGUGCAGCUUCGGAGCUCAAUUGUUGGUGGUGUUUUUGUCAUAUUUUAAAGCACAAUAUUAAAAACCAAAACAUAUUCUUCUGAAUAAAACAUCUGGACUCUGGAGUUUAUUAUGCUAAAAUUGGGCUCCUAGAUAGACAUCACAACAUAAGUAUGCUGAUGAUUAUAUGGGGUUGGGCGGGUCCUCAUAAAUAGUCAGCCUUACCCAUACUGAGUACUUAGUACGGAACUGGUAUGGUAAGUAUUGAGUCCAUAUACAUAGCUAAGACUCACUUACCACUCAAGUACAAAUUAGUCCAUGCUAAGAAAAUUACAGAAUUUACAGUACAACUUGAGUGAGAAAUUGUAAAUUUUUGUUUAUUAUAAUUUUCACAAUUCAUUGGAUUUUUAUGCAUUAUAUUUACCCUUUCAUACUGAAAUUGUAAUUUAAAAAAUUCGUUGAACAAUCAGACCACAAUAUAAAACACACAGCAUCAAUCAAUCAAUGGACCGAUCAAAGGAACUAAUUCAACCUAACACUGCAGAUCUAGCUUGAAAAUGGUAUUAAAAAGACACGAAAACAAAAUUUAUAUUAACAUUGAAAUCAUAUGUAUUGAAAAAUAGUCACAUAAACUGCAAUUAAGAUCAACAUUGAUUUCUCAUUCAUUUUACAUGAAAAUUCAAAAUUGAAAUCAGAUCGCUAAAACACAGUGCGAAAUUGGUAAAAUACCUUAAGGUACUUGAGCUUAAUGGAUCCAUAAACAACGCCGAAGGAUAAAGCAGAAGCUCUAGCGACCUAUCAAUACAGAAAACACAAAAAAUCAAUAAAAAAAUUGUAACAAUUCAAUCGGUAAAGAAAACAACAACAAAAAAGGGAAAUUAGGGUUUUACCAAAGCUAAGGUGCUGGUACCAGAAUAAGGAUUUAGUGGUGGUGCCAUGAGAUCGAUUCUUGUUGAGCAAAGAAAAAAGGAACAAUUCGAACGAAGAACGAUACACUCGUCUUGUUCACAACUCUCGAUUUAACUAUCGAACCCUAGAGAGUGGAGAAUGAGAAAGAGACAAAGAGAGGGUUAGUUGCAGUAUAAACGAUGUCGUUUU